GGUCAAUGAUGAUUGGUAAAAGGUCUGAUCGCACUUGAUGUCACAGUCCCUUCCUCGCCCUCAACUCCCAGCAGCCCAUCGUUUGCUCCUGUCACAUUUAAGUCAUGUGUACGGGAUAAUGGAGCAGCUGAUAAUUUGGGAUUCUGUCAGUGUGUGUUUCUGAGAAUGAAUGGUUCACAGCUGACAACGAUCCGACAGACCUAUCUUUCAGGAGUCUGACGAGCGGCAGCCGUGGGUGUGACGGUGCAUGAUCUCAAGUUUUCAAUCUGAGACC
ensembl:snoRNA